CCAGUUGUGUCAGAGUUGUGUUUAUUUACUGGCAUUUCGAUUUCUUCCUGCUUAUUCCCCACACUUCUUGCAUUAGUAUACAGACAUCUAAGAUACUGAUUUGAUUCCCUCCCCACAGUUCUGUCUUGUUUCUCCUUUAUCCCUGUUAUAAUAGCCCAUGCUCCCCCUAAAUUGUGACCCUUCCCCCAGAUCUCCAUAUUUUUGCCUUACCUAUGGGUUUUGGUCACCUGCCUCCUUUGAACCUAGUUUAAAGCCCUCCUCACUAGGUUAGCCAGUCUGUAUCCAAAUAUGCUCUUCCCCUUCCUCGAUAGGUGGACCCCAUGUCUGUUUAGAAGUCCUUUUUCCUGGAACAGCAUCCCGUGGUCCAGGAAGCCGAAGUUCUCCUGGCGACACCAUCUUUGCAGCCAGGCAUUCACCUCCAGGAUGCAUCGGUCUCUGCCUGAGUCCCUACCAUUGACUGGAAGGAUUGUAGAGAACACCACCUGCACUCCCAACUCCUUCACACUUACUCCCAGAGCCCUGUAGUCCCUUCAAGAAAAAG